rnacentral:rRNA from 1 species
GACGAACGCUGGCGGCGUGCCUAACACAUGCAAGUCGAACGGACAGAAGAGAGCUUGCUUCCUUAGGCGAGUGGCGCACGGGUGAGUAACACGCGAGCAACCUGCCCCUGAGAGGGGGAGAGCUCCUGGAAACGGCGGAUAAUACCCCAUAUAAGAUAAUUAUCCCAAGGGAGAUACAGUAAAGAAAGGUGUUCUGGGAUGGGCUAGAGGCUUAUUAGAUGGUUGGUGAGGUAACGGCUCACAAAGCCGACGAACGGUAGCCGGGAUGUGAGGGUGGACCGCCACAUUGGGGCUGAGACGCAGCCCCGACUCCUACGGGAGGGAGCAGUGGGUAAUAUUGCACCGUGGAGGGAGCUCUGAUGCUGCGCUGACGCGUGGAGGAAGCAGGUUUUCGGAUUGUAAUCUCCUUUUAUCAGGGCCGAUAAUGACGGUACCUGAAGAAAAAGCUCCGGCUAACUACGUG